rnacentral:lncRNA from 1 species
UGAUGAAUUUGUGUGUGUUGUGGCUGAUGUGCAUUUUGGUGCUUUGUAUGCAAGUUUAAGAAUAUCUUAGCAAUAGGAAAGGAAGAUUUAUGGCAGUUUAAUUAAUGAAUAUAAUGAAGGCUAAAACUUGUAGAUAAAUUUAUAAGGUGCUUAAGAGCUCUUCAAUUUGUUAAUGGAAAGAAACACCAUUUACACCGGAUGGCUACAAAGCAACCUUAUUCUGAGAGAGAGGAUCUCAUUCUGUCACCCAGGCUGGAGUGCAUGAUCAUAGCUCACUGCAGCCUCGACCUCCUGGGCUCAAGUGAUCCUCCUGCUCCAGCCUCUCAAGUAGCUAGGACUACAGAUCUUUUCUCAGAAUAGCAGUCUGUAGGCUGUCACCUAAAGUGUCCUGUUUUCAGUGCUGCACCUGCUCUGAGCUUCAUCUUUUUACGAAGACGUCAUGGUGUGCUAUCUGUACUGGGAAACUUUCCCCAGCAUCAGCCAUCUCCUGAAGAUAACAUUGUCUGCUAGAGAUUGUCAUGUAUGUGGAUUGAAUCUCUUUAUCUUCAUGGAUCCAGUUGAAAAUCAGGCAUUGCAUCCAGUUAUCAUGGCUUUAAUCUUAAUGCCUUCCCUGCACUGUUUUGGGAAUAUCUUAAUACUGCUAUUUUUGAAGAGUCCAGCUCAGUUAUUCUGCAGAAUGUCUGUUGAUUUGGCUUUGCUGUUUCCUCAUAAGUAGAUCCAGAUUAUACGUUUUUGUUGAUGUUGGGUUCUUCUCAGUGAAUCACAUCCGAUGAUGUCAGCACGAGGCCUGAUCAUUUGGUUUAGGUAGCUUUCACUAGACUUUUUCAUUGUAAAGGUACCUAUCCCUUUUCUAAUUAAUAAGUAAUAUGUUGGGUGAUAGUUUGUGUGUGAAUAUCCUUUUCUCCAGUGACCUUUCAUCCAAUGGUUUCAGCAUUUUAAAUGAUCCUGGGCUGAGUCAGUUUUCAGUGGUGGCUGCAGACUUGUGGUUUUCCAAUUCUUUCAUCACUUUUACAUUUAUUAAUUGGCAGUCUAUGACUUCUUAUAGCCACAUAAAGAUAAUUCAGGAAUUAUCUGAACCUAUGAAUGUUACCUUAUUUGGAAAAAGAGUCUUUGCAGAUACAAUUCAAUUAAGAAUCUUGAGAUGAGGAGAUUAUCCUGGAUUAUCCAAUGGGCCCUAAAUCCAAUGACAAAUGUCCUUGGCAGAGGGAGAUUUGAGACAGGAGAAGAGAAGACACGAAGGAGGGAAGGAAGUGAUGUGACCACAGAGGCAGCGAUUGGAGUGAUGUAGUCACAAGCCAAGGAGCACCAACAGCCACCAGGAGCUGGAAGAGCCCAAGAGUAUAUACUAAUACCUGGAUUUGGGACUUGGGACUUCUGGUCUCUAGAAGUAGGAAAGAAUAAACAUCUGUUUUUUGUUAAAAAAAAAAAAAAAAAAAAAAAAAAAA